ACUUAGGUAGUUUAAUGUAAAACAUUGAUUUGUGGUGUCAAAAAUAUAGGAAUCUAUUUUAGGUC
rnacentral:tRNA from 1 species